rnacentral:sRNA from 1 species
GCUUCCCGAGCUGAAUAAGAUGACUCAGAAAGAUAUCACAUUUGUUGCUGAAUUUCUUACUGAACAUUUCAAUGAGGCUCCAGACCUUUAUAAUCGAAAAGGAAAAUACUUUAACGUUGAAAGAGUUGGUCAGUACUUGAAAGAUGAAGAUGAUGAUCUUGUGUCACCCCCUAACACAGAAGGAAAUCAGUGGUAUGACUUUCUUCAAAAUAGCAGCCACCUUAAAGAAAGUCCUUUGCUGUUUCCUUAUUAUCCUCGAAAAUCAUUGCAUUUUGUGAAAAGGCGGAUGGAGAAUAUUAUUGAUCAGUGUUUGCAAAAGCCAGCAGUAAGUUUGAAAGAAAUGCAUGUCUUUGUGUAGGAGCAAUAGUGUCUACAGUAUGUGGCUCACUUAUGUAAAUGAUCUUAAUUUUUAGAAUGAACUAUGAAAAUGUUGAUAUUCAACUGUUUUUGAUUAACAAAAGUAACAAUUUCAUAUGGUUCAACCUAAUACUCCAACUUAAGUUUCUUACACACGUGUGUGUGUGUGUGUGUGUGUAUAAAGAUUACUAAAGGUGUUGGCAUCUUGAGUAUUUUAUUUGUUCCCAGAAGAAAUUCAUUGUAAACAGUCUUAGUUACAGAGCUGAUGUGUCUCUGUUUACUACUGAAGGAUGUGAAUGAAUGGUUGUUAUGAGACCAGAGGGAGGUGGUCUUAAACCUGCCAUGUGCUUAGCACCAAGGUCCUUUUCAGCUCAGAAUUUUCUCUUUUUCCUUACUGUUACAAUUGUCAUUAAAGUUUCUUAUGUACAAGGUUUGGUGAUGUAGGCGAUUUUUUUACUACAUUCGAACAGUGAUGGUCAGUCACUUUCUGUAGAGUAUCUGUGUGCAUAUUAAUGCUCUAAUUAUAUUUUAAAAUCUUAUUUUAUAUAGGAUGUAAUUGGAAAAUCGAUGAAUCAAGCAAUCUGUAUUCCAUUGUAUAGAGAUACCAGAAGGUAAUUCUGUUUACCUAUUGGGUGGUGUAAUUCCGCAGCCAAUUUAAAUUUUUCUCAUUUCUUUUUCCCUUUUAUUUUAGUGAGGAUUCUACACGUAGAUUGUUCAAAUUUCCUUUUCUGUGGAAUAAUAAAACUUCAAAUCUACAUUAUCUUCUUUUUACUAUUCUAGAAGAUUCACUUUAUAAAAUGUGCAUCUUAAGGAGACAUACUGAUAUUUCUCAAUCUGUGAGUAAUGGACUAAUUGCUAUUAAAUUUGGGAGCUUUACAUAUGCCACAACAGAAAAAGUCAGAAGAAGGUAAGUCUUGAAUCUUGUUUGGAUGAAAUGUAGAUACAUGUGAUAUGUGUAUAUGUUUAGGAAUAGGAUCAGACUCAGUUACGGUGGUAAUAUAGGUAAAAGGGCUUUGCCACUUCCCACAUCAAGGGCAGGAUUCUUUGUAUAUUUAUACAUAGAGAAUGAUUUGACUUGUGAUUGAAUAGAACCUUACUGCCCUGCAGUUUAUGUCAUAUGGUUUCCUAUAAUUAAUACUCCUGAGCUCCCUGUUGACAAAGAAAGUAAUGUGGUUCCCAUGGGCAGAUGGCCUGCAGGGCUGAAGUUCUUGUUAUGACCAAAAAAAAUUAUGAGGUGAUGCCAUUCUUAGUGAUGGGAGAUUUUCUUAGGAUUCAAAAUGGUAACAGUACCUAAGCCAUCCCUGAGGCUUCGCAAGGAAAAGAAGUGACUAAUCAUAGGCUGAUCUUUUUCUCACUUUUUUCCUCACAUAAAAUAAGUUUUUUUAUGAUAAAGUCUUUGGAGUUGCUGUGCCUAUUUUUCAUGUGUAGUAUCUUAUUUUUAUUUCUCAGUCUAGUCAACUCUGCUGAAUGUGUAUAUAAGGUGUCAUUCAUAGAAUUUCCACAGGCUUAAGGCCUAACCAUUGAUGGCCAGGGGCUUUCUAGAACUGAAACAACUUCACAGAUUUUUGGGGGUCAUGAUUACCCAUUUUUAAGAUUUGGUUAUAUAUGUGAAUAAUCAGUACAAAAAGUAACUGAUUUUAAUACAAACCAAUGAUACAUUUUAAAUGUUAUUGUACAGAAUGUCACUUAACUUUUAAAUUUUUUUCUGCUUGCUGCCAGUAUAACAUGCAUACAGUAUUUUCUCAGUAGUCACGAUCAUCUUUGAUAUAACAAAACUUAUUUUAAUUCUAGCAUCUACAGUUGUUUAGAUGCACAGUUUUAUGAUGAUGAAACUGUAACAGUAGUUCUUAAAGACACUGUAGGACGUGAAGGAAGAGAUAGACUCUUGGUCCAGCUGCCUUUGUCUUUAGUAUAUAACAGUGAAGAUUCUGCAGAAUAUCAGUUCACUGGGACUUAUUCUACAAGGUAACUAGUAACAUUGUCUUUCUGAUAUUUCAGUUAAAUGUUUUUUUAAUGCACAUUAUAAAUUUCAACCUUUUAGGUAUGCUAGAUAAUGGUUAUUUCGUUACUAGAGAUAACCACAGAGGUAGCUGAGCAGAAAUGCUCCAAUCUUUCAUUCAAAAUAUGCUGGCCUUAAUAGCUUUUUUUGUCCCUUUGCUUUACUAGUAAAUCAGGAAGUAUUUGCUGGAAUCAAGGUGGGGAAUUAUUUGGAGUGGAGAAUGGGACUUCUUUUAGUUACAUUUUUAAGGAUAGCAUUAACCCUGGGUGGUUGGAAUUAGUUAUUUUUUAUUUGCCUUCAGUAUUUUCCUUCCAGAAUUAAGACCUCAGUACCCAUGUAGGAAGUAUACUGUCAAUUCCAAGAGAUGGCUUUAAUUGACUGAGACUUAAGUAAGCAGAUCUCUAAUUUAAAAAUGUAUCCAUUUGCUUUCUUUGAAAGGGAGUCAGAAACCUUGCUAAGAUGAUAUUCUGCCUAUUUGGAAUUACAGUAUUUCUUUUCCUUUUUUUUUUGAAACAGGGCCUCUCUCUGUCACCCAGGUUGGAGUGCAGUGACGCAAUCAUAGCUCACUGCAGCCUCCAACUCAUGGGCUCAAGUGACCCUCCUGCCUCAGCCUCUCAUAGCUGGGACUACAGGCAUGUGCCACCUUGCCUGACUAAUUUUAUUUUUUUACAGAGAUAGAGUCUUACUAUGUUGCCUAGGCUGGCCUUGAACUCCUGGACUCAAGCAAUCCUCCCACCUUGGCCUCGCAAAGUGCUGAGAUUCCAGGCAUGAGCCACUGUGCCUAGCCAGAAUAUAGAAUAUGGAAUUUUUAUAGAAUAUUAUAUCACAGCUUUUUUUCUAACACAACAGUUGCUAAAAUUAUAUUGGAAAUAGAAGUAUGAGUAGAAGUCAAAACCAUAAUUGACCCUAAUACCACCUGUAGUAAACUAGGGAGGAGAAGAUCCCCUUUUCAUUCCUGAGUUGGUUUUUUUCCCUCUUUAGGCUAGAUGAACAGUGUAGUGCUAUUCCCACCCGUACCAUGCAUUUUGAGAAGCACUGGAGAUUACUGGAAAGUAUGAAAGCACAGUAUGUUGCUGGGAAUGGUUUUCGAAAAGUGUCCUGUGUGUUAAGCUCAAAUCUUCGUCAUGUGAGAGUAUUUGAAAUGGACAUAGAUGAUGAAUGGGAGCUCGAUGAGUCUUCAGAUGAAGAGGAGGAGGCCAGUAAUAAGCCUGUAAAAAUAAAGGAAGAAGUGUUGUCGGAGUCAGAGGCAGAGAACCAACAAGCUGGUGCUGCCGCUUUAGCUCCAGAGAUAGUCAUUAAAGUGGAAAAACUUGACCCUGAGCUAGACUCCUAAUCUAGCUUGCCAUUAUUGUGUGUGUAAUUAUGGCCAAAAGGACAUAGGAGAUGGACUAAGAUGUCUUGGACCACCUUUAAUUUUCUUUGUGUAACAAAGAAAUAAACAGUAAAUUUUAUUUUUUCA